rnacentral:rRNA from 1 species
UGUCCUAGAUAAACCAAUUAUUAAUCAAUGAUUAAGUAUCUAAUGUUAGACCCGAAGCCUAGUGAUCUUACCAUGAUCAGGGUUAUAAAGGCCCGAACGGGUUAUCGUUGUAAAGAUAUCCGAUGAAUUGUGGUAAGUUAGUGAAAGACAAAACUGACUAGGAUAGCUGGUUUUCUGCGAAACCUAUAUAAGUAGGUAAUGUAAAUAACAUCAUAGCAGGUACAGAACUGUGAUCUCGGACAAAUUAUCUUGUUUUCUUAAGGAUAGCAAGAUGGUUUUGUAUACAUCGGGGAAUCGUGAAGAUUUUAUCGGCGAGAAUUUGCUCUCGGAAGGGCAAUGAUGGAUUUUGCAUAAUCGGACAUAGUACGAUAAGGUUGUAUGUCUAAAGGGAAACAGCCCAGAACAAGAGUUAAAGGUUCCAAAAUUAUUGUUAAGUGAAAAUAAGGAAGUUUUCUUCAAAUACAACCAGGAAAUAGGCUUAGAAGCGGCCAUUUUUUGAAGACCUCGUAACAGAGCACUGGUUUAACAUUAAAAGUUGAAAGCACCGAAAAUUUAACGGAUCUAAAACAAUAUACCGAAACCUUGUCUAUAAAUAAAUAUAUUUUAAGAAGUAUGAAAUAUUUUUAUUUAUGGGGUAGCAGAACGUU